AUCGUGACAGGCCUAGUUGUGGUCUGAAAUAUCAGAUGUUCCAAUUAAGCAUUCCUUCACUUUAGAUCUAUCAAUGGUGUUCAUCAGAAACAGAUCGAUCCUGGAGUGGACUUUGUGUGCAGGAGAGUAAUGAGUAAAUUCUCUUUCUUUAUUAUGGAGAUCCCUCCAGACAUCAAACAAGCCCAUCUCCCGGAUCAGGAUAUUUAAAUCUUUUGACCUACCAGUUUUUUGUUUCUUAUAGCUUGUUGUAUCUAGAGCAUAAUUAAGGAUUGUGUUCCAAUCUCCAGCGCAAACAAGAACUCCUUCACUAAAUGAGAUAAUGGGGUCAAAGAACGUUUUUAAGAAAGUCCUGUCGCUCUCUGGUGGUACAUGUAUAUUAACAAUCGUGACCACAACAUUAUCAAUUCUCCCCUUUAUAAUAGCAAAUCUGCCCUCUUUGUCACCCUUCUCAGAUAUCAAUUCAAAGUUCAGUGAGUAAGAAAUUAGGGUGACUACCCCCCUCUUUCUACUAUUUCUACAAGAGCUAUAAAAGGUGUUUGAGUAACCAAAUGACUUAAACUUAUCAUGCUCUUGUUUAGACAUACGUGUCUCUUGUAAAAGAGCGAUUUGUAUCCCAUCUUUUUUCAAUUUAGCUAAGACCCUUUUUCUUUUUACUGGACUACUCAAUCCGUUUACAUUUAAGGAAGUGAUUUUUAAAUUAUAUGACAUGAAUAUACAAAGAAAAUUACCUUGACUGAUUUGGCCCCUGAAUCCAGAACACGAACAGUAAUAAAGCAAAACAAUAUCAAACUAACUUCCAAGAUGAGAAGAAGCUCCCUGUUCUCACUCUUGACCCCGUUGGCAAGUUGAGGGUUAAACCUCUCAAACUGAGAGGGCCCGAAAAGGACAGUAGAAGCGCCUUUAGGAAAAAACACGUCCAUCCUAUUAGUGAUGUGUCGGUCGCUAACGAUCCGGCUCUAAGAGCCGGCUCUUUGAAGUGAACGAUUGGAACUGGCUCCACAAUGGGAGCCGUUUUAGGAUCCUAUUUGGGAGCCUGGUUUUUUUCUACAGUAUAUCGCUGUCUCUCCGCCUCCCUGUUGUUGUGCUUGUGCUCUGCAAGUGCCAGAGCCGAUAGUUUUUCCCCACAUCGUUUUUUUUUGUCCUGCGGUGCCUCGCUCGGGCAAGCGGAGACACUGCAACCAGGAAUCCUACAGCUGAUGCUAUUCUGGAAGUGAGGUCCUACCUUGAGGAGCCUCUUUUCCAGCGCAGUGCUGACCCACUGAGCUGGUGGGAGACAAAGGCACUGAUCUAUCCACAUCUCUCUCACGUGAUGGCACGUAGACUGUGCAUAGUGGCAACAUCCGUCCCCUCAGAGAGGAUCUUCUCUAAAACUGGACAGAUCAUAACUGAGAGAAGGAACAGGAUCAGCCCUGCCAAGCUUAGACACCUGGUGUUUCUCAACGCCAAUCUGUAAGUCUUUGAGUGAUUUAAUACAGUGAGUUCUUCAUCUCUAGUGGUUCAAAACUUGUGUUGUUCACAUGUUUUUUAUCCUUCAUAGUUUUAUACUUUAAUUUAAUAGCACUGUAUUUGAUAUUUGUAUUGUGGCACCUUUUCUGUUAUGAAGCUGCUUUGAUACUUUUUCGUAUUGUGGUGGGUGUUUGUAUUUACAUUUAACUGUUUAAUUUAUUUUAAGUUAUUUUUGUGGAAGUGGUGCUAUUUUGUGAUCAUUUAAUUGGUUAUAAUAAAAAGUUUAUUUAUAAAGCAUUGUUAUGCGGCAUUUUUACUCAUAAGUGCUUAACAAUGUCAAUAAUGAAACAAAAUAUUAUAAAAUUAGGUUUAAGCUAUUAAUUAAUUAAUAAUGUCAAAAAUAUAUAUGGGGAGCCGUUUGGGAGCCGAAAGAGCCGGCUCUCCACAGUAAGAAGAGCCAUUAGAGCCGCAUCUCGAAAAGGAGCCGAAAAUCCCAUCACUG